rnacentral:tRNA from 1 species
GCCCUCGUAGCUCAGCCGGUAGCAGCAGCCGCCUUGUAAGCGGCAGGUCGCGCGUUCGAAUCGUCGCCGAGGGCACCA